AGUGAACGCUGGCGGUAGGCCUAACACAUGCAAGUCGAACGGCAGCACAGAGGAGCUUGCUCCUUGGGUGGCGAGUGGCGGACGGGUGAGGAAUACAUCGGAAUCUACUCUGUCGUGGGGGAUAGCGUAGGGAAACUUACGCUAAUACCGCAUACGACCUACGGGUGAAAGCAGGGGACCUUCGGGCCUUGCGCGAUUGAAUGAGCCGAUGUCGGAUUAGCUAGUUGGCGGGGUAAAGGCCCACCAAGGCGACGAUCCGUAGCUGGUCUGGGAGGAUGAUCAGCAACACUGGAACGGGGACACGGUCCAGACUCCUACGGGAGGCAGCAGUGGGGAAUAUUGGACAAUGGGCGCAAGCCUGAUCCAGCCAUACCGCGUGGGUGAAGAAGGCCUUCGGGUUGUAAAGCCCUUUUGUUGGGAAAGAAAUCCAGCUGGCUAAUACCCGGUUGGGAUGACGGUACCCAAAGAAUAAGCACCGGCUAACUUCGUGCCAGCAGCCGCCGUAA
rnacentral:rRNA from 1 species